UUUCUGGAUCAUUGCAUAUGAGAUUUCCCAGCAAUGCUCUGCUGAUGUAACCUUCCCAGAAUGCAAUGCUUGGGCACAUAACAUAAUUUGUGUCAAAGAGAACCAGAAAGUAG